UACGAAGGGGGCUAGCGUUGUUCGGAUUUACUGGGCGUAAAGCGCACGUAGGCGGAUCGUUAAGUCGGGGGUGAAAUCCUGGAGCUCAACUCCAGAACUGCCUUCGAUACUGGCGAUCUCGAGUCCGGAAGAGGUGAGUGGAACUCCUAGUGUAGAGGUGGAAUUCGUAGAUAUUAGGAAGAACACCGGUGGCGAAGGCGGCGAGCUGGUCCAUUACUGACGCUGAGGCGCGAAAGCGUGGGGAGCAAACAGG
rnacentral:rRNA from 1 species